rnacentral:rRNA from 1 species
GACCUAAGGAGAGGCUGAAAAGCGUAUCCGAUGGAUAACAGGUUAAUAUUCCUGUACUAUCUAUAAUUAGUGAUGGAAUGACGGAGAAGGAUAACAGUACCCAUUAUUGGAUUUGGGGGUAAGCAACGACUGGUCAAUGUAGUUAAAUGCGCAUUGUAUAACCGGAAUUUGUGAUGCAUAGUGAUUUAUUUCACGAAUUUUGUGAUUCCAUGCUUCCAAGAAAAGUUUCUAAGCGUUAUAAAA